AGGGAGAUCUAUUUUUGGCUCAAAUGUGU
rnacentral:piRNA from 1 species